GAUGAACGCUAGCUACAGGCUUAACACAUGCAAGUCGCGGGGCAGCAUGGGGGUUGCUUGCAAUCCCCGAUGGCGACCGGCGCACGGGUGAGUAACGCGUAUUCAACCUGCCCUUCACCACGGGAUAACCCGGCGAAAGUCGGACUAAUACCGUAUGUUGUCCAUUGACGGCAUCCGAUUUGGACGAAAGGCUUGGCGGUGAGGGAUGGGGAUGCGUCCGAUUAGCCAGACGGCGGGGUAACGGCCCACCGUGGCUACGAUCGGUAGGGGUUCUGAGAGGAAGGUCCCCCACACUGGAACUGAGACACGGUCCAGACUCCUACGGGAGGCAGCAGUGAGGAAUAUUGGUCAAUGGGCGUAAGCCUGAACCAGCCAAGUAGCGUGCAGGAUGACGGCCCUAUGGGUUGUAAACUGCUUUUAUGCGGGGAUAAAGUGGCCCACGUGUGGGCUUUUGCAGGUACCGCAUGAAUAAGGACCGGCUAAUUCCGU
rnacentral:rRNA from 1 species